rnacentral:misc_RNA from 1 species
GCAAACUUGGUCAUUUAGAGGAAGUAAAAGUCGUAACAAGGUCAUCGUAGGUGAACCUGCGGUGGGAUCAUUAAUGGAUUCUUACUAUAUCCUUCUUUGGGAGGGUAUGUGUGUGGUUCCUAUGGAUAUAUAUUGGCUUGGGUAGGGCGUUUUGCGCUCUGUCCUACCAAAGAGGACUUUGCUUGCCUACUACAUCAUGUGGUGGGCGGCUCUGUCCUUGUCCACAAACUCUUAUGAAUCUCUUUUCAUAACCAACCUGAUACCAAAAAUGCCUAGUUGCAUAAUAAUUCUUAUACAACUACCAAUGGCGGAUCACUUGGCUCUUGCAUCGAUGAAGAACGCAGC